ACACAUGCAAGUCGAACGAUGAAGCCCAGCUUGCUGGGUGGAUUAGUGGCGAACGGGUGAGUAACACGUGAGUAACCUGCCCUUAACUCUGGGAUAAGCCUGGGAAACUGGGUCUAAUACCGGAUAGGAGCGCCUACCGCAUGGUGGGUGUUGGAAAGAUUUAUCGGUUUUGGAUGGACUCGCGGCCUAUCAGCUUGUUGGUGAGGUAAUGGCUCACCAAGGCGACGACGGGUAGCCGGCCUGAGAGGGUGACCGGCCACACUGGGACUGAGACACGGCCCAGACUCCUACGGGAGGCAGCAGUGGGGAAUAUUGCACAAUGGGCGCAAGCCUGAUGCAGCGACGCCGCGUGAGGGAUGACGGCCUUCGGGUUGUAAACCUCUUUCAGUAGGGAAGAAGCGAAAGUGACGGUACCUGCAGAAGAAGCACCGGCUAACUACGUGCCAGCAGCCGCGGUAAUACGUAGGGUGCGAGCGUUAUCCGGAAUUAUUGGGCGUAAAGAGCUCGUAGGCGGUUUGUCGCGUCUGUCGUGAAAGUCCGGGGCUUAACCCCGGAUCUGCGGUGGGUACGGGCAGACUAGAGUGCAGUAGGGGAGACUGGAAUUCCUGGUGUAGCGGUGGAAUGCGCAGAUAUCAGGAGGAACACCGAUGGCGAASGCAGGUCUCUGGGCUGUAACUGACGCUGAGGAGCGAAAGCAUGGGGAGCGAACAGGAUUAGAUACCCUGGUAGUCCAUGCCGUAAACGUUGGGCACUAGGUGUGGGGACCAUUCCACGGUUUCCGCGCCGCAGCUAACGCAUUAAGUGCCCCGCCUGGGGAGUACGGCCGCAAGGCUAAAACUCAAAGGAAUUGACGGGGGCCCGCACAAGCGGCGGAGCAUGCGGAUUAAUUCGAUGCAACGCGAAGAACCUUACCAAGGCUUGACAUGUUCUCGAUCGCCGUGGAGAUACGGUUUCCCCUUUGGGGCGGGUUCACAGGUGGUGCAUGGUUGUCGUCAGCUCGUGUCGUGAGAUGUUGGGUUAAGUCCCGCAACGAGCGCAACCCUCGUUCCAUGUUGCCAGCACGUAAUGGUGGGGACUCAUGGGAGACUGCCGGGGUCAACUCGGAGGAAGGUGAGGACGACGUCAAAUCAUCAUGCCCCUUAUGUCUUGGGCUUCACGCAUGCUAUAAUGGCCGGUACAAUGGGUUGCCACACUGUGAGGUGGAGCUAAUCCCAAAAAGCCGGUCUCAGUUCGGAUCGGGGUCUGCAACUCGACCCCAUGAAGUCGGAGUCGCUAGUAAU
rnacentral:rRNA from 1 species